rnacentral:piRNA from 1 species
UAAUAACAUUGAACUUAGAGGUGACAC